rnacentral:rRNA from 1 species
UACGAAGGGGACUAGCGUUGUUCGGAAUUACUGGGCGUAAAGCGCACGUAGGCGGAUUGCUAAGUCAGGGGUGAAAUCCCGGGGCUCAACCUCGGAACUGCCUUUGAUACUGACAAUCUCGAGUCCGAUAGAGGUGGGUGGAAUUCCUAGUGUAGAGGUGAAAUUCGAAGAUAUUAGGAAGAACACCGGUGGCGAAGGCGGCCCACUGGAUCGGUACUGACGCUGAGGUGCGAAAGCGUGGGGAGCAAACAGG